UACGUAGGGGCCUAGCGUUGUCCGGAUUUAUUGGGCGUAAAGAGCUCGUAGGCGGCUUGGUAAGUCAGGUGUGAAAUCUCCACGCUCAACGUGGAGGGGCCACCCGAAACUGCCAUGGCUUGAGUCCGGUAGGGGAGUGUGGAAUUCCCGGUGUAGCGGUGAAAUGCGCAGAUAUCGGGAGGAACACCAGUGGCGAAGGCGGCUACCUGGACCAGCACUGACACUGAGGCACGAAAGCGUGGGGAGCAAACAGG
rnacentral:rRNA from 1 species